rnacentral:tRNA from 1 species
GGGCAAUUAGCUCAGCUGGUUAGAGCGCGUCUCUGAUAAGGACGAGGUCCGAGGUUCAAGUCCUCGAUUGCCCACCA